CCUAAGCUUUUAUGACACCCUACACACUUCUUAUUCUUACACAUUUUGAUCAUUUUUUUUCUCGUACGGUUACCCAAUACCCAUUUCUAUUUUAGUUGUUGUUCAUUUUCGCCCUUUUUCUUUUCUUUUUAGAGAUCAUCAAUAUAAUUUUUUUUAUUUCAAAUUGUUCAUAAUGGUUACUACUUGGACCAACUCUAGUUCUCCCUCUCUACUUGCAAAUAAAGAUUUGGCCCUUUUUUUGUUGCUUUUAAGUUUAUGUUGUUGUGUUAGUUGUUUUAAUAUUGUUGUGAUCAAGAUUAAUUUUGUGUUGUAUAUUGUUUUUAUUUUUUAAUGUUGUUUAAUUGUUGUUUCAUUUCAGCAUAUUAAUGGAAUUUUCACAUUAUAAAUGUAUAUUUCUUUUUAGAUGUUUGUAAUUAUUGUUUAGUUGUAAUCUGUUUUUAAGAUUGUUUUGUAUCUUUUUGAAGGUUCAAAGUGAUAAAAAGGCCAAUCCCACUGUUCAAGCAACAAUUUAUUCCAUUUUAGAUGGAAUGAGUGAAGAUGUUGCUUAUAAUCCACUUGAGUCUCCAGUCAAAUUUAUUAAAAUAUAUAAUAGCUUUUUCUAAUGUUUAGAGUCCAUUCUCUCUCUCCUUUUUCUUUUAUUUUGCCCAAAAAAUUUCUCUCCAUCCCUUUCUUUCAUUCUUUCUUCUUUUUCAAAUUUUCACGACAACACCAAUUAUUGUUGAUUUUAUGGUGAUCUUACAUUCCCUGCACAUCUUUUGGAUUAGACCACAGUUGUUAUGGUGUUUAUUUAAGAUUGAACUUGUGUUGUUUUCAUAUUCAUGAAUUAAUUUAUAAUGUGUGCCAUGCUUUUGUUAUGUUCUUGCUCAUUAUGGUUGUUGUAUUAUUUGCUUUAUUUCUGUGUUGUUUUAGGACUAGGAUUACAAAUUUACAAUCAUGCAAAAAAUUAACUCUGAAUCAAUUUAAACAAAUCAACUUGAGAUAUACUCUUUUUAUGGGGUUAAUGUUUCCUCAUCAUCUCCCCACCUCUCACUCGUUCGACCACCUCUCUCUCGCUCACUCACGGCAGGGUUCUUGAGAACCAGGCAAACGACAUGAACGGUGUGCUUGUGCUCUUGGGCGAACGACGUGAACAGCGGAGGCUCGCGGGUCUUCGGCAAAUGGCGCGAACGACGGGGCUCGAUGGGUAUUCAGCGAACGAUGGGGGCUUCAAUAACGAACAAAGGGGUCUCUCUCUCUCUCUCUGUAUUGUUUAAGCUCAGCAGUCUCGGGGUUGGGGCUAUGAGCCGUGACGAGGUUGGGAAGGUUUGGGGGUUAAGGAUUCUGGUUGUGGUAUUCACCAGCAAGAUAAACCCCAUUUAUUCACCAAGUUUGUACAACCGCAAAGUGGAUCUGGUCGGACUGCUAACAGCGGAGCUGGACUCGGGCUCACAUCAUAAUUUAAUCACUUGGAACCAUCCUCGGAAAUCACUCCAAUUAUGUUUUCAAGAAAAUAGUUAUGGCGGUGGAAUGAUUCCUGGUAGUUUGGUUUGUGUAUUAAGGAUGAAGGGAUUCAAUGGACUGUGUGACGAUUCGAGGACGACGUUAUUUUUAGUCUCUUUAAAUUAUGUUUUUAUGUAUUUUUCGCAUUUAGUUUUGUAAACAAUUUCAUUUAGUGUAUAGUUAUGUUUUAUUUUAAAACAAUGGUAUCCCAUACCGCUCAUUUAUGUAUUUCAAAUAUUUACUUUGGAGUUUUUAAUAAAGUUAUGAAUAUUCCUUA